GAUGAACGCUGGCGGCGUGCUUAACACAUGCAAGUCGAACGAAGCACCUUAUUCUGAUUUCUUCGGAAUGAAAAAUUUGGUGACUGAGUGGCGGACGGGUGAGUAACGCGUGGGUAACCUGCCUCAUACAGGGGGAUAACAGUUAGAAAUGACUGCUAAUACCGCAUGAUGUAUCGGGAUCGCAUGAUUCUGAUACCAAAGAUUUAUUGCUGAAAGAUGGGCUCGCGUCUGAUUAGCUAGUUGGUGAGGCAAUGGCUCACCAAGGCGACGAUCAGUAGCCGGACUGAGAGGUUGACCGGCCACAUUGGGACUGAGAUACGGCCCAGACUCCUACGGGAGGCAGCAGUGGGGAAUAUUGGGCAAUGGGCGCAAGCCUGACCCAGCAACGCCGCGUGAAGGAAGAAGGCUCUCGGGUUGUAAACUUCUUUUGUCAGGGACGAAACAAAUGACGGUACCUGACGAAUAAGCCACGGCUAACUACGUGCCAGCCGCCGCCGUAAUAC
rnacentral:rRNA from 1 species